rnacentral:sRNA from 1 species
AUGACGGUGUUCAGAAAGUUAAAACUUCUUCUCUGGAAGGAUUUCAUCUUAAAGGUGGUAUGGUUAUCUGUGGGAAGAUAUAAGUCCUUGGGAGGGAUUGAAUGUUUAAGUUAAAUUGGUUCCUAAUAACGGGUUAAAGAACACUUAAGAACUUUACAUGGAAAGGGGCCCUUUUCUGUAAACAAGUCAUGUAAUUAUUAAAGAUGACAUAAUUGUUACUGAUUUCUGGCCAUUGGAGUUACAGAAAGGCUAAAAGGAGAUGUUUCAAGCCAAUUCUUAUUCUUUGUUUUUCUUUUUCAUGUGUUGUGCAGGGAGACUGGAAGAAAUUAAAGUGUUCUAAAUGGAAGAGCAUUCACCACAUGUGUUCUGUUUUGGGUUGACAUUUAGCUUUUGUUUUUAUUUUAGAAACGGAAGACUCUGGUAGCAAUCCUUGAAAUCUUGAUGCCAUUGCUAUUUUCUGCAUUGUAUUGUAUCUUCAUUUUAGUAGUGCUCCAAUAAAAAGACCUGCCACUAACUGCCAUGCAAUUGAUAUCAGUUCGUUGCCAGACUUCUACAAUUUUCCUGAAAAAUAGAUUUCAACUAGUUUAUAUCCCUUCUAAAAGUGAAACUUUGAAGGCUAUCACCGAAAUGGUGGAACAUAUCUUUGAUGUUGAGUUUGAAGGCUAUCCUUCAGUGUCUUUGUUUGAACAUUAUAUAAUUGAUGAUCCCAAAGCUUUCUGCAUAUUGGCAGGAAUUGUUUUUGACCAUAACGUCAAUGACAGCAAUGGAUCUUUGCCACUUGUGGUUAAGUAUCAAUUGCGCUUCAGUUACUUUCAGAAGAAUUUUAUACCGGGGAAGAAUAUAUUUUUCCAAGAUGACAUAGAAGGCUGGUGCACAUCCUUUCUUUACCCUCUCAAUCCAUGCCAAGAACCCCGUGAAUUUCCAUUUGCUGAUGGGGGAAGUCCUGGAUACAACAAAGAAGGCUUCCUGGCCAUACAGUAUGCUGUGGAUAAAGCCAUCAUGUGGUACCAUGCUCACAGUGCAAUUACCAACAUGUUUGAGAAUCCCAAUGUACUUGUGAAGAGAUUCCCAUAUGGACCCUAUAUUGAGGACAGGUUCUUCCUAGUCCUUCAGAAUGAGUUUUCUCUGUUCUUCAUACUCAGCUUCAUGUGCAUUGAGCUCAUCAUCAUCAAUUCCAUUGUACUGGAGAAAGAGAAAAGACUGAAGGUCUUAUUCCCCCUACAAGUGGAUGUGCAUAUGUCAAUGGAUAUGAGAUUCCACAAGAGAUGUUUCACAUUAGGAAGAGCCUGGGCUGGUGCCCCCAACAUGGUGUCUUAUUUGAUAAGUUAACAGUAGCAGAACAUCUUUCUUUCUAUGGUCAGCUGAAGGGCCUGUCACGCCGGAAGUGCCCUGAAGAAGUCAAGCAGAUGCUGCAUGUCAUCGGCCUGGAGGACAAGUGGAACUCACGGAGCCGCUUCCUGAGUGGGGGCAUGAGGCACAAGCUCUCCAUCGGCAUUGCCCUCAUCGCAGGCUCCAAGGUUUGAAUCUCUAUUUACUGACUUGGAACUGAGGCAGGUAGAGCUGGGCAUCUCCAGCUUUGGGGCCUCUGUCAUGACCAUGGAGGAUGUCUUCAUAAGGUACAGUGGUGGAUUGGUUACUGUCCUCAAUUUCAUGCUCUGCUGAACUUCAUGACAGGCCAUGAGAUGCUGGUCAUGUAUGCCCAGAUCGGGGGCAUCCCAGAGCACCCCAUUAGUGCUUGUGUGGACCAGAUUCUUGAGGAUUUAGUCAAGUACAUGUACGCCGACAAGCUGGUCAAGACCUACAGAGUGGUGGUAACCAGCGGAAGUUGAGCACUGGCAUCGAUCGCCCUGAUCGGAGAGCUUGCCUUCAUCCGAUCAGGAUGAAGCCAUCCACUGGCAUGGACUCCGUGGCCUGGCGCCUGCUCUGGAAUGCUGUGGCACAAGCCCACGAGUCCGGCAAGGCCAUCGUCAUCACCUCCCAUAGCAUGGAGGAGUGUGAGGCCCUGUGCACCUGGCUGGCCAUCAUGGUGCGGGGGCAGUUCAAGUGUCUGGGCAGCCCCCAGCACCUCAAGAGCAAGUUCGGCAGUGGCUACUCCCUGAGGGCUAAGGUGCAGAGCGAAGGGCAGCAGGAGGCGCUGGAGGAGUUCAAGGCCUUCAUGGACCUGACCUUUCCAGGUAGCAUCCUUGAAGACAAGCACCAAUGCAUGGUCCAUUACCAUCUGCUGGGCCAAGACCUCAGCUGGGUGUGUUUGGCACUCUGGAGCAAGUCAAGAAGAAGUACAUGCUGGACGAUUACUCAGUCAGUCAGGUCACCAUGGAGGACGUCUUCCUGAGCUUCGCCUGCCCUGUGCCCCUGGUCCAAAGUGAAGACCAACG